UACGUAGGGUGCGAGCGUUAAUCGGAAUUACUGGGCGUAAAGCGUGCGCAGGCGGUUCGUCGUGUCUGAUGUGAAAGCCCCGGGCUCAACCUGGGAAUGGCAUUGGAAACUGGCGGACUAGAGUGUGGGCAGAGGGGGGUGGAAUUCCGCGUGUAGCAGUGAAAUGCGUAGAGAUGCGGAGGAACACCGAUGGCGAAGGCAGCCCCCUGGGCUAACACUGACGCUCAGGCACGAAAGCGUGGGGAGCAAACAGG
rnacentral:rRNA from 1 species